GUCUCGUGGCGCAAUGGGUCAGUGUGCCUGGCUGUUAACCAGAAGGUUGCUGGUUUGAGCCCACCCAGGGACG